rnacentral:tRNA from 1 species
CGGGGUGUGGCUUAGUUUGGUAGAGCACUACGUUCGGGACGUAGGGGCCGCAAGUUCGAAUCUUGCCACCUCGACCA